rnacentral:lncRNA from 1 species
GCCUCCGCCGGCAUCGGCCGGGAGAUAUGCCUCGACCUCGCCGCCGCCGGGUGCAAGAUCGUUGCCGCCGCGCGGAGGGUCGAUCGCCUCAAAUCCCUCUGCGACGAGAUCAACGGCUCCUCCAACACUGUCCAAGCCGUCGCCGUGGAGCUCGACGUCAGCCGCAAGAGCCCCGCGAUCGAGGCCGCCGUGCACGACGCGUGGAACGCCUUCGGCCGCAUCGACGCGUUGGUGAACAACGCCGGAGUUAGAGGUAAUUUUAGCCAUAACGAUUUCUGAUCGUUACACUGUCGUGCUCGAGAAAGCAUCUCCUGCAUCCCACAGCGUUCUACUGAUGUCCGCUGCGUGUGAGCUCAG